UGAUGAAAGCUAGUGUGGCAAGAAGACCAUAACUGUGGAUAUGACCAGUCAUUUGUACCAGUUCCUUGUCAGAAAGCUCAAAUACUGGACUGUCCGGUUCAAAACCAGACACCUGACAAACCUAUCCAGAGCUUAGAUACAAGGACAAUUGAGCUCACUAGUACGGUGGAGGGAGAAUAUGAAAUGCAGGGGAACCUGAUUCUUCAUGGCCUUCCAUCUUGCAUUGGAACCCAAACAAAGAGGGUGCAAGGAUGCUACUGCUGUUAGGUGCACCAGCCACAGGCCAAGCAAAGGCAAUGAGUGCAUUGAUGGAAAAGGCCACUUGACCCAAGACUCACAACUCAAAGUUACAGAGAAGCAUGAGGAAUUAGUGGGGAACCUGAGGGAAGAGCAUGAACAAUGUUUUGCAGAGAUCUGAAUUGAAGAGGACUCCAAGAAGAGCCACGAAAAUGAUGAAAGGAUUAGAAAUCAGGCCGUAUGGUGAUGGACUCGAGGAGCUCAAUUGAUUUAGCUUAACAAAGAGAAGAUUAAGGGAUGACUUGAUUGCAGCCUAUAAGCAUCUACCCAGAGAAUAAGUAUUUAAUAAUGGACUCGUCAGUCUAGCAGAGACAGGUAUAACAUGAUGAAUGGCUGAAAGUUGCACGAUGCAUUUCAGACUGGACAUGAGAGAAACUGACCACUGGAACAAUUUAUCCAGAGUCAUAGUGAAGUCUCUGUUGCUGACAAUUUAUAAAAUAUAUGGUGUAGGAAUAAUUUUGGAAGAAGUUCUAUGGCUUGUGUUGUACAUGAGGACAGAGUAGAUGAUCACAGUGGUCCCUUUUUGGCCUUUGAAUCUAUAUAUCUAGGAAACAAUAUGUUUUCCACCAGUGAAACUCUGCACUGUUACAUCAUUUCAACCCUAUAGAUUUCAGUGGGGUAGAACCAGAAUAGCUGAGUGGCUAAAGGGCACUCUCAUGUCCUGUACACUGUCAUUCCAAUAGUAAAAACCUAGAGCUGGAAAGAAAGGGUUGGCUAGUGGUUACAGUAAGGAGACUGGUGCAAUGACUUCUAUGUUCUUGCUGUGUGGUCUCUUGGGCAACUCAAUAUCUCUGUGUAGCUAUUUGUAAAAUUGGUAUAAAUAGUAGUACCACACCUAGUAGUCAAGAAACAAGGAAUAAUUCAUUCAUAAUUGCAAAAUACUUUGAGAUAUUUGAAAGGAAGGUGUGAGGUAAGGAAUUAAUCAAGCUAAUUAACUUGAGGGAACUAGGACUUGCUCUGGAAUCUGAGACUAGAGCAAAAUCCAAAGGCAAAAUGUCUGGUUCCUAUCACAAUGCUCCAUUUGUCUGCACAGUCACUGCACUAUUGGGAUCCAUUUCAUGCUUACGCAAUGAGGCAAAAUAGCUCUGAAAUGGAAGGCACGUGCUAUACAUGUAGGUCUUGUGCUGCCCCUGAACAAAGGUGAAUGGCAUCUCAAGGGUCUGGGAAAUGUUUUGAGAUACUGUCUGGCAGAACACAUGGGCUGUGUCUAGACUGGCAAGUUU